UUAGAAGAAAAUAAAAAGUUUUGUCGCGAUUAGUUAUUUGAUAUUUACCUUGUUCUUUUGUUUAUCGCUGCGACAAGCACCGACGGUAUAAAAUAUAAAGAAAAAAAGAAAGAGAGAUGAAGGUGAGAUGAAUGAAAGAGUCGCAGCGACAGAUCUGAAGAGAUAGGAGAAAGGGAAUUUGAGACGCUGAAAAUUCCAGCGUCUACGGAAUGGCCGAAUUACAGUCGAUGCGGCAGAGAUGAAAAAAAUGAGAAAUGAAAGUGAAAAAGAGAUGAGAACUUUUUUUGGGUCGCAGGUAGCUGACGCAGCAAUCAACAAAAGAACAUGGCCAACGUUUUAGUAGAUACUACUAUAAAAGAAAAAGGUUGAUUUAAUUCAUUCGUAAUUUGGACUUAAUUUUUUUUUAGGAACACUAAUUAAUCUUAUUUGCCAGCUGUAUGAGUGGACUACAAUAAACUCUUGUCUAUA
rnacentral:sRNA from 1 species